rnacentral:rRNA from 1 species
GACGAACGCUGGCGGCGUGCUUAACACAUGCAAGUCGAACGGAAAGGCCCUGCUUUUGUGGGGUGCUCGAGUGGCGAACGGGUGAGUAACACGUGAGUAACCUGCCCUUGACUUUGGGAUAACUUCAGGAAACUGGGGCUAAUACCGGAUAGGAGCUCCUGCUGCAUGGUGGGGGUUGGAAAGUUUCGGCGGUUGGGGAUGGACUCGAGGCUUAUCAGCUUGUUGGUGGGGUAGUGGCUUACCAAGGCUGUGACGGGUAGCCGGCCUGAGAGGGUGACCGGCCACAUUGGGACUGCGAUACGGCCCAGACUCCUACGGGAGGCAGCAGUGGGGAAUAUUGCACAAUGGGCGGAAGCCUGAUGCAGCAACGCCGCGUGCGGGAUGACGGCCUUCGGGUUGUAAACCGCUUUCGCCUGUGACGAAGCGUGAGUGACGGUAAUGGGUAAAGAAGCACCGGCUAACUACGUG